UACGGAGGGUGCAAGCGUUAUCCGGAUUCACUGGGUUUAAAGGGUGCGUAGGCGGACAGGUAAGUCAGUGGUGAAAUCUCCGAGCUUAACUCGGAAACUGCCUUUGAUACUCUCUGUCUUGAAUAUGGUGGAGGUAAGCGGAAUAUGUCAUGUAGCGGUGAAAUGCUUAGAGAUGACAUAGAACACCUAUUGCGAAGGCAGCUUGCUACACUACUAUUGACACUGAGGCACGAAAGCGUGGGGAUCAAACAGG
rnacentral:rRNA from 1 species